rnacentral:rRNA from 1 species
UACGAAGGGGGCUAGCGUUGCUCGGAAUUACUGGGCGUAAAGCGCACGUAGGCGGGUUCUUAAGUCGGUGGUGAAAUCCUGGAGCUCAACUCCAGAACUGCCUUCGAUACUGGGAAUCUUGAGUCCGGGAGAGGUGAGUGGAACUGCGAGUGUAGAGGUGAAAUUCGUAGAUAUUCGCAAGAACACCAGUGGCGAAGGCGGCUCACUGGCCCGGUACUGACGCUGAGGUGCGAAAGCGUGGGGAGCGAACAGG